GCUUAUUAAUAUCUGAGCAAACCUGUGGAUACACAUAUAGACAAGUGCAUAGAGUCUUAAGAAAAAUUCUGCCCUACAUGUAGUAAAUACAAAAUAAGGACAAGGUCUUGAAAAAUUCUAUAGUUCCUUAACUAAAUUUUGACUAUUCUCACCACAUGACAUGACAUGACAAAGGCAAGUUCAUGUCUAUCACACAAAUAAAAGCCUUUACCUUUGCAAAAUAAAGUCACUUCUGUAAAUUUAUUCAAGAUCCAAGACUAAAAUAAAAUGAAAACCUCUUAUGUAAAUGUAACUAACUAGGGCUGUUGCUGAAAUUUCUAAAGUCAGCUCAACUUACAUUUGUCCUAAUUAGCCAACGA
rnacentral:misc_RNA from 1 species